rnacentral:rRNA from 1 species
AACGGAGGGUGCAAGCGUUGUUCGGAAUUACUGGGCGUAAAGCGCGUGUAGGUGGUCUUUUAAGUUUGGUGUGAAAGCCCUCGGCUUAACUGAGGAAUAGCGCCGAAUACUGAAAGGCUAGAGUAUGGGAGAAGAGGGCGGAAUUCCUGGUGUAGCGGUGAAAUGCGUAGAUAUCAGGAGGAACACCGGCGGCGAAAGCGGCUCUCUAGCCCAAUACUGACACUCAGGACGCGAAAGCGUGGGUAGCAAACAGG